UUUUUUUCUCAUCUUCAUGUGUUUUACCAUUAUACUUUAUACUCCAUCUAGCCAAUAAGUACACCACCAUUUCAUACUUAUUACAUGGAAAUACACCAUACAGUGAUACGAUUCUUCAUCAGAAGGCAAAAAGAAAGGACUACAUAACUGAACUCAGAUUGUAAACUUCAUGCAUUGAAUAGCAGCAAUGGACACCCCAGCACCCAUCACUCUCCUGGAAUAAUAACAGAGGAAAUAACAAGCUGAAUUAACUAACACCAUUACAUACACUACGCGUGUCAAGGAACUGAACUUUGUAUUUUACAAAAAAGCUCAAUCAUGCACGUACCUUCAUCCAUUACAUACACUACAUGUGUCAAGGAACUGAACUGGGACCUUUGUGCAUGCACCUGAUAACUCAGCCUCUUCCUCCCCUUCAAAAAAGAAAUAAAUCAUAAUUUACGUUGAAGCGGUCAUCCAUGGUGGAUUUUUUCCAGAUUUUCCAUCCAAUAAGGGACAGAGAUUGUUGACUAGUGACAAGAAAAAGAGAAGGGCAUGUAUAGUGUCACACACACACACACCAACCAACCGUGUUCCCUUUUUCCAUCUGGACUCAACAUGUUCCUUCAUCAGUCUUUCCAGGAAAUUGCCAGGCUCAGAUCCCUUUGCUUUGGUGACUUUUUUUUAUCAUUACAUGUAACGGUGAAGAAUAGGACAACUUGUUACGUCUGUUAGUUUUGGCUGCACAAGAUAUGAAAUAAUCAACGGAGUAAACAACUCAAUGUACAGAAAGUUACACAUCAAGUAGAUAAUUCUUAAUCUGAAACAAGUCAUGCCUAGACGCCAUGAUCAAAUUGAGUACCGCGUUAGUGGAUGAUAGGAAAGAAUACGACUCAUUUUUUCUGAAAAGUACAUCCUCAGCUUCAGCUGGUACCAAGAGAAACGACUUUGGAGCCAAUGGCAGAGCAAUAAUAGUGUGCCUCCCCCCACCCACACACACACACCAACCUCCUCACCCCUUGUUCUAGAUUUCCAGUUUGCAUCUCUGGGAGACUGUAAACAGCCAAAAACCAUGCCGAUCGGAGAAGCUGUUCUGUCUGCCUUCAUGCAGGCACUCUUCGAGAAAGUGAUCGCUACCGCUUUUGGUGAGCUGAAAUUACCUCAAGAUGUAGCUGAGGAGCUGGAGAAACUAUCCAGCAGUCUGUCAACCAUCCAAGCUCACGUUGAAGAUGCUGAGGAGCGGCAGCUGAAGGAUAAGGCGGCACGAAGCUGGCUUGCCAAGCUCAAGGAUGUUGCAUAUGAGAUGGAUGACUUGCUCGAUGAUUAUGCAGCUGAGGCCCUUCGAUCCAAACUAGAAGGCCCGUCCAGAGACAACCAUUUGAGCAAGGUUAGAAGCUGUUUCUGUUGCUUUUGGUUCAACACCUGUUUAUUCAACCACAAGAUUCUGCAAGACAUAAAGAAGGUGGAGGAGAAGCUCAAUAGGCUUGUCCAGGAAAGAGAGAUUAUUGGUCCAAACAUGAUUAGUGCAACAGACAGGAAAGAGCUAAAAGAGAGGCCUCAGACAAGUUCAAUAAUCGAUGACUCAAGUGUGUUUGGAAGAGAAGAAGAUAAGGAGACCAUUGUGAAGAUGUUGCUUGAUCAGAAUAACUCCAACCAUGCCAACCUUUCUAUUCUUCCCAUAGUGGGCAUGGGUGGACUAGGGAAGACGACUCUAACACAGCUUGUGUACAAUGAUACAAGAAUAAAGGAGCAUUUCCAGUUAAGGGUCUGGCUGUGUGUUUCUGAAAAUUUUGAUCAGAUGAAGCUUACCAAGGAAACCAUUGAAUCAGUUGCCAGCGAGUUUGAAUCAACCAUCAGUUGGGUCUCAUCCGUCACGACCAACAUGAACUUGCUCCAAGAAGACCUCUCAAAAAAGCUAAAAGGUAAAAGGUUUCUUCUAGUACUUGAUGAUGUAUGGAAUGAGGACCCUGAAAAGUGGGGUACAUAUCGCCGUGCUCUACUUACUGGAGGAAAGGGAAGCAGAAUAGUAGUAACCACAAGGAACAAAAAUGUGGGGAAACUAAUGGGUGGGAUGACUCCAUACUAUCUAAAUCAGUUAUCCGACAAUGAUUGCUGGUCUUUGUUCAGGAGCUAUGCAUUUGUGGAUGGUAACUCCAAUGCACACCCAAAUUUGGAAAUGAUAGGCAUGGAAAUUGUGAAGAAGUUGAAAGGCUUACCACUGGCUGCAAAAGCAAUAGGCAGCUUACUGUGUUCCCAGGAUACUGAGGAUGACUGGAAAAACGUAUUAAGGAGUGAAAUAUGGGAACUGCCAUCGGAUAAGAACAAUAUAUUACCAGCUCUGAGAUUGAGUUACAAUCAUUUGCCUGCCAUACUGAAGAGAUGUUUUGCAUUUUGCUCAGUCUUUCACAAAGACUAUGUGUUUGAGAAAGACAAAUUGGUCCAGAUAUGGAUGGCCCUUGGAUUUAUUCAGCCUCAGCGGAGGAGAAGAAUGGAAGAGAUUGGAAGUAGCUAUUUUGAUGAAUUACUAAGCAGGUCCUUCUUCCAACAUCACAAAGGUGGAUAUGUGAUGCAUGAUGCUAUGCAUGACCUAGCACAGUCGGUCUCAAUUCAUGAAUAUCUCAGACUGGAUGACCUUCCAAACAACAGCAGCUCUGCAAGAAGUGCCAGGCACCUCUCAUUCUCUUGUGAAAAUAGAAGUGAGACUUCAUUUGAAGCCUUUCUUGGAUUUAAAAGAGCACGGACACUUCUACUGCUAAGUGGAUAUAAAUCAAUGACAAGGUCUGUCCCCAGUGAUCUGUUCCUCAAGUUAAGGUACCUCCAUGUACUCGAUUUGAACCGGCGAGACAUUACUGAGUUGCCAGAUUCUAUUGGAAGCUUAAAAAUGCUUCGGUAUUUGAAUCUCUCGGGCACUGGUAUAGCAAUGUUGCCUUCGUCAAUUGGUAGACUCUUCAGCUUGCAAAUACUUAAGUUGAAAAACUGCCAUCAAUUAGAUUGUCUCCCACAAAGCAUAACCAAUCUUGUAAAUCUUCGAUGGCUAGAAGCAAGAACAGAGUUGGUCACGGGCAUAGCCAGAAUAGGUAAAUUAACCUGUCUUCAACAGUUGGAUGAAUUUGUGGUCCGUACAGACAAAGGAUAUAAGAUCAGUGAAUUGAAGGAAAUGAAGGAGAUUAGAGGGCAUAUUUGUAUUAAGAAUAUCGAGUGUGUGGCUAGCAUAGAGGAAGCAAUUGGAGCUUUUCUAAGCGAGAAGGCGUUCAUCAGCAUCCUAGACCUUAUCUGGUCCGAUAACAGGCACAUAGCAUCAGAAGAAGCAAAUCAAGACAAAAGGAUACUUGAGGUUCUCCGGCCACAUCAUGAACUGAACGAGCUAACUGUCAAGGCAUUUGCAGGCUCCUCCUUCCCAAAUUGGUUUGGUAGUCUUUCCCACUUGCAAACCCUCCACCUGUCUGAUUGUACAAAAUGUUCGACUCUACCAGCACUGGGAGAGCUGCCUCAACUCAAGUAUUUAGAUAUUGGUGGUUUUCCGGCCAUUAUUCAAAUCAGCCAAGAUUUUUCAGGUACCAAUGGAGUUAAUGGGUUUCCAGCACUGAAAGAGCUCGUAUUCGAAGACAUGAGUAAUUUCAAAAGGUGGGCUUCUGUACAAGAUGGUGAAUUUCUUCCAUCCCUCACAGAACUUGUAGUGGUGGACUGCCCCAAAAUAACAGAGUUCCCACUACUCCCAUCAAUGCUAGUGAAGCUCAAAGUUUCUGAAACGGGGUUCACUAUUCUUCCAGAAGUCCAUAUUCCAAACUCCCAGUUUCCAUCGUCGUUAGAAUGCUUACAGAUUCAUCAGUGCCCAAAUCUCACAUCCUUACAAGAAGGACUGCUUAGCCAGCAAUUAUUGGCUCUCCAGCAGUUAACCAUCACUCAAUGUUUAGACCUAAUUGACCUGCCAGUUGAAGGAUUCAGAUCCCUGUCUGCUCUUAAGAGUCUUCACAUCUAUGACUGCCCAAGGCUGGCACCAUCAGGACAGCAUAGCUUGCUGCCCUCCAACCUUGAAGACUUGCGCAUCAGCUCAUGCUCCAACCUUAUCAACCCUCUUCUUCAAGAGCUUAAUCAGCUCUCCUCGUUGACACAUCUCACCACCGCUGAUUGUGCUAGCCUUCAGUCUUUUCCAGUAAAGCUCCCUGCCACUCUGCAAAAACUGGAGAUCCUCGAUUGCAUUAAUCUGAUCUACUUGCCUGCUGGUCUAGAAGAUGCAUCGUGCCUAACAACCAUAACCAUCUUGAAAUGUCCUCUCAUACCAUGCUUGCCAGGGCGCCUUACAGGGUCAUUGAAAGAACUGUACAUCAAAGAAUGCCCGUUUCUAUUGGAGAGUUGCCAGGAAAACAGUGGAAGAGAUUGGUGUAAUAUUGCUCAUGUACCAAUCAUUGAGAUCAGUGAUGAUACCAACAUAACCAACAAGAGCACACGAAGAAGAUUAUCAUGAGUGCCUCACAGCAGUGCUACACAAAUGGUAUGACCUAGAUAUAUUUUUCUGCUUGUCUUGCAUAAACAUGUUUUGUCUACUAAUUGUAAACUUUCAUAGUAGAACCAAAAUCCUCUAUAGGUGAUUUUGCAUUCGUUAUUGCACCUAUUUUGCAUCUUAGCACAUAAACACACUUAGGUUCAAAUGUCUUGUAACACCUAACCGCUAGAAAUAACCAUACACUAGGAAACUACUGUAAACAUCAGCUGCAACACUGUAUAGAGCCUUGCAUUCAAAGAAAAAUGAACAUAUUUUAAUAGAAAAGUAAAACUAAUGGGAUUGCCAAUUUAAGACUCAGUAAUAACAAUUCAACAAAAAUAAACCAUCAAAAGAUUCAUUAUCUACCUCAUGUAUCCUAGAAUCAUCUAAGUGUUUGAUGUAUUAAAAAAGUUUCAUAUCAACAGGUGCGCCACGGAGAUCAUUGACCAUGGUCAAGUCAUAUAGCUGUUCCGUUCAGAAAACAAAACCUAAACCUUCAGCUGUGAUACGAGAAAGUUUGUUCGUGCGCAGUGCGAGCAUGCAUAGUAGCAAGCUUAUCUGGUCAACAUUUACAAAAUAUGGUUGCAUUAGCUUCUACUCCCUCCGUUCCAAAAUAGAUGACUCAACUUUAUACUAACUUUAGUAGAAAGUUGAGUCAUCUAUUUUGGAACGGAGGGAGACUAGCAAACUCCAGAUUAAUACUUCUAUACUGCCAGUGAAAUUUUUCAUAGAAUAGACAUAAUAAUGUCCCAACUCUUGGUUACUAAAAGUUAGUGUGGCUCUCUGUUGCAUAUGCAUUGCCUGUCUAGUGUCUACAGAAUGCAGUUCAACGCUAAACCUAAAAGAAGAUACUGUGCUCACUUGUGCACUUUCUUUUUUCUAUUUGCAGAUAUCGUCUCGAUUCUGGAAAUGAUUUUUGGACGAUGGUGAUAUUUCAAGACCACCUUGCAGUUUAGUCCCACCUGCCAUCAGAAGACUAAUCUAAUGUGCUUAAAUUCAAACGAUCAGAAAACUCAGUCAGUAAUUUUGAAUAAACAGGUCUAGUAGUUUCAGGCUUUCAGCGGAGGAAAUUGCCAAGACAGCUCUUUGUGCUUCUGUAAUUGUGUGCUCUGUGCUCUCGAAUACAUUCCAUUCUAUGAUUCUGAGACGCCUUCAUUUAUUUUUCUUCUCUGUAUGACCCUCUCAUUCAAUAGCUAAGGCUAUUUUUUCAAGAUUAUAUACUACAAUAGAGUACAGUAAUAACUGGAUGGCAUAAAGAGUAUACAUACAUGCCUUGUUUUUUGUGCAAAAUCCUAACUGAAAUCUAUUCAGUAAAGGAGGGGUUUAAAACGGUGGGAACCUUUUCUUCACUUCUGUCAGUAAACACCAUCAUAUCAAAGUCUGGUACCUCCACCAGGCAUUGCCC
rnacentral:lncRNA from 1 species